UCCUUCGUGGUGUAACGGUAGCAUACUAGAUUUGUGUUCGAGAGAUCCAGGUUGGAGUCCCGGCAAGGGCA
rnacentral:tRNA from 1 species